UGAAGACGUGAUGCGUACCGAAUUAAGAGUAGGGAAGAGUGUGAGCCAUGCGUCAAGAAAAGCCGCUAUUGUUUGUAUCGCGCCCGUACCGUAAACCGACACAGGUGGACGAGGAGAGAAUCCUAAGGCCGACGGGAGAAGCAUUGUUAAGGAACUCGGCAAAAUGACUCCGUAACUUCGGGAGAAGGAGUGCCACUGAGAGGUGGCCGCAGAGAAUUGGUCCAAGCAACUGUUUAGCAAAAACACAGGUCUAUGCAAAACCGAAAGGUGAAGUAUAUGGGCUGACGCCUGCCCGGUGCUGGAAGGUUAAGGGGAGAGGUUAGCGCAAGCGAAGCUUUGAACUUAGGCCCCAGUAAACGGCGGCCGUAACGAUAACGGUCCUAAGGUAGCGAAAUUCCUUGUCGGGUAAGUUCCGACCCGCACGAAAGGCGUAAUGAUUUGGGCACUGUCUCAACAAUGCACCCGGUGAAAUUGAAAUACCAGUGAAGAUGCUGGUUACCUGCGCCAGGACGGAAAGACCCCAUGGAGCUUUACUCCAGCUUGAUACUGGGAUUCGGUAUUGCAUGUACAGGAUAGGUGGGAGGCUUUGAAGCGGUGACGCCAGUUGCCGUGGAGCUGCUGUUGGGAUACCACCCUUGCAGUACUGGGUUUCUAACCAGCGGCCUUUAUCAGGUCGGGGGACAAUGUCAGGUGGGGAGUUUGACUGGGGCGGUCGCCUCCGAAAGGGUAUCGGAGGCGCUCAAAGGUUCCCUCAGAAUGUUCGGAAACCAUUCGAAGAGUGCAAAGGCAGAAGGGAGCUUGACUGCGACACCGACGGGUGGAGCAGGUACGAAAGUAGGACUUAGUGAUCCGGUGGUAUAAAGUGGGAUUGCCAUCGCUCAACGGAUAAAAGCUACCCUGGGAUAACAGGCUUAUCACUCCCAAGAGUUCACAUCGACGGAGUGGUUUGGCACCUCGAUGUCGGCUCAUCGCAUCCUGGGGCUGAGGUAGGUCCCAAGGGUUGGGCUGUUCGCCCAUUAAAGCGGUACGCGAGCUGGGUUCAGAACGUCGUGAGACAGUUCGGUCCCUAUCCGGCGUGGGCGUAGGAUAUUUGAGAGGAGCUGUCCUUAGUACGAGAGGACCGGGAUGGACUGGCCGCUGGUUGAUCUGUUGUUCCGCCAGGAGCAUAGCAGAGUAGCCAAGCCGGGACGGGAUAAACGCUGAAGGCAUCUAAGCGUGAAGCCCCCCUCAAGAUGAGAUAUCCCAACGAAAGUUGUAAGACCCCUUGAAGACGACGAGGUAGAUAGGACAGAGGUGGAAGUGUGGUAACUCAUGGAGCUGACUGUUACUAAUAGGUCGAGGGCAUAACU
rnacentral:rRNA from 1 species